AGUUAAAGGGUGGGGUUUAGGAUUUAGGAUUUAGGGUUUAGGGUUUAGGGUUUAGGGUUUAGAUUUUAGGGUUUAGGGUUUAGGGUUUAGGGUUAAGAGUUUAGGGUUUAGGGUUUAGAGUUGAGAAAUGAGGUUUUGGGAUAAGAUUUCAAAUUUUGAAAAAUAAAAAAAAUAAAAUUUUCAAAGGAUAAACUUAGAAA
rnacentral:lncRNA from 1 species